rnacentral:rRNA from 1 species
UACGAAGGGAGCUAGCGUUGUUCGGAAUCACUGGGCGUAAAGCGCAUGUAGGUGGCCAUCCAAGCCAAGGGUGAAAUCCCAGAGCUCAACUCUGGAACUGCCUUUGGAACUGUAUGGCUGGAGUCUUGGAGGGGAUAGCGGAAUUCCUAGUGUAGAGGUGAAAUUCGUAGAUAUUAGGAGGAACACCGGCGGCGAAGGCGGCUAUCUGGACAAGUACUGACACUGAGAUGCGAAAGCGUGGGGAGCAAACAGG